ACUCAAUGUCCAGUCCAGCUGAUGUAAAAACAAGAGUUCUCAGGGUACUCCAUGGAUUGAACUCAGCAGAAGCCUGGGAGCAGUGGGGUGUGCAAUGCAAUUCUGGGUCAGCUUCCUCCGGCAGAAGAAAACGACACAGGCCAGGUGUGCUGGCCUAUACUUUUAACUCACUACUUCGGAGACUGAGACAGGAGGAUCUCCGUGAGUUCGGGGCCAGACUGGUCUACAGAGUGAGUUCCAAGAUAGCUAGUUACAUACUGAGAUCCUGUCUCAAAGAAAAAGAAAACAAACAACGGCCCCUCCCCCCCGACUCCCCAGUCUUAAAUUGGUAAAAGAACAGCA
rnacentral:lncRNA from 1 species